rnacentral:rRNA from 1 species
UACGUAGGGUGCAAGCGUUAAUCGGAAUUACUGGGCGUAAAGCGUGCGCAGGCGGUUAUGUAAGACAGUUGUGAAAUCCCCGGGCUCAACCUGGGAACUGCAUCUGUGACUGCAUAGCUAGAGUACGGUAGAGGGGGAUGGAAUUCCGCGUGUAGCAGUGAAAUGCGUAGAUAUCGAGAGGAACACCUGCGGCGAAGGCGGGUUGCUGGGCUGACACUGACGCUGAAGCGCGAAAGCUAGGGGAGCGAACGGG